rnacentral:rRNA from 1 species
GUUCCGACCCGCACGAAAGGCGUAACGAUUUGGGCACUGUCUCAACGAGAGACUCGGUGAAAUCAUAGUACCUGUGAAGAUGCAGGUUACCCGCGACAGGACGGAAAGACCCCGUGGAGCUUUACUGUAGCCUGAUAUUGAAAUUCGGCACAGCUUGUACAGGAUAGGUAGGAGCCUUUGAAACGUGAGCGCUAGCUUACGUGGAGGCAUUGGUGGGAUACUACCCUAGCUGUGUUGGCUUUCUAACCCGCACCACUUAUCGUGGUGGGAGACAGUGUCAGGUGGGCAGUUUGACUGGGGCGGUCGCCUCCUAAAAGGUAACGGAGGCGCUCAAAGGUUCCCUCAGAAUGGUUGGAAAUCAUUCAUAGAGUGUAAAGGCAUAAGGGAGCUUGACUGCGAGACUUACAAGUCGAGCAGGGUCGAAAGACGGACUUAGUGAUCCGGUGGUUCCGCAUGGAAGGGCCAUCGCUCAACGGAUAAAAGCUACCCCGGGGAUAACAGGCUUAUCUCCCCCAAGAGUUCACAUCGACGGGGAGGUUUGGCACCUCGAUGUCGGCUCAUCGCAUCCUGGGGCUGUAGUCGGUCCCAAGGGUUGGGCUGUUCGCCCAUUAAAGCGGUACGCGAGCUGGGUUCAGAACGUCGUGAGACAGUUCGGUCCCUAUCCGUCGUGGGCGUAGGAAAUUUGAGAGGAGCUGUCCUUAGUACGAGAGGACCGGGAUGGACAUACCUCUGGUGUACCAGUUGUCGUGCCAACGGCAUAGCUGGGUAGUUAUGUAUGGACGGGAUAAGUGCUGAAAGCAUCUAAGCAUGAAGCCCCCCUCAAGAUGAGAUUUCCCAACUUCGGUUAUAAGAUCCCUCAAAGAUGAUGAGGUUAAUAGGUUCGAGGUGGAAGCGUGGUGACACGUGGAGCUGACGAAUACUAAUCGAUCGAAGACUUAAUCAAAA